GGCGCCCGCAGCCGGCGCCUGGUUUAGGGAACGCGCAGCUGCAGCCCCGCGAGCUCCAACGUGGGCAGGGCAGCCGACCCAAAAUACGCGCUCUGCAGCCGGCCCCGCCGCUGCCUUUUUUAGCUUGUUUGCGGCCAGGCUGACUCACACAGCUAAGACAGCAAAAUGUACCUGAGGUGACGCCUGGCGGUAUUCAAAUAUCCCUAGUUUCUUUUCUAUUUUUUCUCUCCUCUCCAUCACCUCUGCCAACUUAACGCCUCCUGCCCCGGGGCCGCCUUGGCCAUGGCCUGUCCUGCCAUUGGUUCUCGGCGGUGAGGGAGUUGCGGGCUCCGACCUUGUCAAGGUGACUUCCCAAGUUCCUGCAUUUUCUGAGUGACGUGCAUUCACAUGAGGUCUGCAAUGUUGUCUCUCCUAUCAAGAUGUGCAACAGUCACACAUACACACACCCUUCGCUCAGUUUCAUUUUGCUGGCUUCGGAAGUCAUUUGAAUUGGAAGAGUUUUCUUUGUGAAACCGGAAGGCUUCACUGGGGGCUUAAGAAGAGAGGAGGAGAAGAGGACGAGCUCACCCUGGCACAAUCCAUCUGUACUAAUCUGCAUGGAAAGUAACAGUGGAAUACCACUUUUAGAAAACUGCAUGAAAGGAAAGGUUUUAUGUCCAGCCAAGCAGUCCUUCAAGCAUCAACGGAUGUCAAAGCCGUUUUCAACAUGCAAGAACUUGGGGAAUCCUGAGCCCAUCAUGUCUUCCUGAAAAAUCUACUAGGGGAUGAACAUGAUGCAACACAGCGGUCACUGGGGAAUACUCAGCAGGAGGACUGGA